UAUAAGUAUAAACGCUUUAAGCGUGAAACCGCGAACGGCUCAUUACAACAGCUAUAAUUUACUUGAUCUUGACAAACUUACAUGGAUAACUGAGGUAAUUCUUGAGCUAAUACAUGCACCAAAGCUUUGACCGUAAGGGAAGAGCGCAUUUAUUAGAACAAAACCAAACGGCUUCGGCUGUUCCCAGUUGAAUCAGAAUAACUCAGCUGAUCGUACGGUCUUGUACCGACGACGUGUCUUUCAAGUAUCUGCUUUAUCAACUUUCGAUGGUAGGGUAUCUGCCUACCAUGGUGGUGACGGAUAACGGAGGAUCAGGGUUCGACUCCGGAGAAGGGGCCUGAGAAAUGGCCACUACGUCUAAGGAUGGCAGCAGGCGCGCAAAUUACCCACUCUCAGAAUUUGGAGGAGGUAGUGACGAGAAAUAACGAGGUUGAUCUCUUCUGAGGCCAACCAUCGGAAUGGGUACAAUUUAAACCCUUUAACGAGUAUCUAUGAGAGGGCAAGUCUGGUGCCAG
rnacentral:rRNA from 1 species